rnacentral:rRNA from 1 species
AACUGCGAGUGAAGCGGGAAAAGCUCAAAUUUAAAAUCUGGUGGUCUUUMGGUCAUCCGAGUUGUAAUUUAGAGAAGCGUCUUCCGCGCCGGACCGUGCACAAGUCUCCUGGAAUGGAGCGUCAUAGAGGGUGAGAAUCCCGUCUUUGGCAUGGACACCCGGGGCUUCUGUGAUGCGCUCUCGAAGAGUCGAGUUGUUUGGGAAUGCAGCUCAAAAUGGGUGGUGAACUCCAUCUAAAGCUAAAUAUUGGCGAGAGACCGAUAGCGAACAAGUACCGUGAGGGAAAGAUGAAAAGCACUUUGGAAAGAGAGUGAAACAGUACGUGAAAUUGUUGAAAGGGAAACGCUUGAAGUCAGUCGCGUUGACYGAGACUCAGCCUUGCCUYGGCUUGGYGUACUUCUCGGCUGACGGGCCAGUAUCAAUUUUGUCCCUCGGAUAAUGGCAAGGGAAAGGUGGCACCUUUACCGGUGUGUUAUAGUCUCUUGUCGCAUGCGAGGGGCGGGAUUGAGGAACUCAGCACGCACCUUUUGGUGUCGGGGCCUU